rnacentral:rRNA from 1 species
ACGGGUGAGUAAUGUCUGGGAAACUGCCUGAUGGAGGGGGAUAACUACUGGAAACGGUAGCUAAUACCGCAUGACCUCGCAAGAGCAAAGUGGGGGACCUUCGGGCCUCACGCCAUCGGAUGUGCCCAGAUGGGAUUAGCUAGUAGGUGAGGUAAUGGCUCACCUAGGCGACGAUCCCUAGCUGGUCUGAGAGGAUGACCAGCCACACUGGAACUGAGACACGGUCCAGACUCCUACGGGAGGCAGCAGUGGGGAAUAUUGCACAAUGGGCGCAAGCCUGAUGCAGCCAUGCCGCGUGUGUGAAGAAGGCCUUAGGGUUGUAAAGCACUUUCAGCGAGGAGGAAGGGUUCAGUGUUAAUAGCACUGUGCAUUGACGUUACUCGCAGAAGAAGCACCGGCUAACUCCGUGCCAGCAGCCGCGGUAAUACGGAGGGUGCAAGCGUUAAUCGGAAUUACUGGGCGUAAAGCGCACGCAGGCGGUUUGUUAAGUCAGAUGUGAAAUCCCCGAGCUUAACUUGGGAACUGCAUUUGAAACUGGCAAGCUAGAGUCUUGUAGAGGGGGGUAGAAUUCCAGGUGUA